rnacentral:rRNA from 1 species
GUGCUGCAUGGCUGUCGUCAGCUCGUGUUGUGAAAUGUUGGGUUAAGUCCCGCAACGAGCGCAACCCUUAUCCUUUGUUGCCAGCGGUCCGGCCGGGAACUCAAAGGAGACUGCCAGUGAUAAACUGGAGGAAGGUGGGGAUGACGUCAAGUCAUCAUGGCCCUUACGACCAGGGCUACACACGUGCUACAAUGGCGCAUACAAAGAGAAGCGACCUCGCGAGAGCAAGCGGACCUCAUAAAGUGCGUCGUAGUCCGGAUUGGAGUCUGCAACUCGACUCCAUGAAGUCGGAAUCGCUAGUAAUCGUGGAUCAGAAUGCCACGGUGAAUACGUUCCCGGGCCUUGUACACACCGCCCGUCACACCAUGGGAGUGGGUUGCAAAAGAAGUAGGUAGCUUAACCUUCGGGAGGGCGCUUACCACUUUGUGAUUCAUGACUGGGGUGAAGUCGUAACAAGGUAACCGUAGGGGAACCUGCGGUUGGAUCACCUCCUUACCUGAAAGAA